GCAUUGAUGGUUCAACGGUAGAAUGGGUCGUUGCCAUAAAAGGAAAUCGACUCGACCGGGGUUCGACUCCCCGUCAAUGCA